rnacentral:rRNA from 1 species
GUGGGGGACAACAUUCCGAAAGGAAUGCUAAUACCGCAUACGUCCUACGGGAGAAAGCAGGGGAUCUUCGGACCUUGCGCUAAUAGAUGAGCCUAAGUCGGAUUAGCUAGUUGGUGGGGUAAAGGCCUACCAAGGCGACGAUCUGUAGCGGGUCUGAGAGGAUGAUCCGCCACACUGGGACUGAGACACGGCCCAGACUCCUACAGGAGGCAGCAGUGGGGAAUAUUGGACAAUGGGGGGAACCCUGAUCCAGCCAUGCCGCGUGUGUGAAGAAGGCCUUAUGGUCGUAAAGCACUUUAAGCGAGGAGGAGGCUACUGAGACUAAUACUCUUGGAUAGUGGACGUUACUCGCAGAAUAAGCACCGGCUAACUCUGUGCCAGCAGCCGCGGUAAUACAGAGGGUGCGAGCGUUAAUCGGAUUUACUGGGCGUAAAGCGUGCGUAGGCGGCUUUUUAAGUCGGAUGUGAAAUCCCCGAGCUUAACUUGGGAAUUGCAUUCGAUACUGGGAAGCUAGAGUAUGGGAGAGGAUGGUAGAAUUCCAGGUGUAGCGGUGAAAUGCGUAGAGAUCUGGAGGAAUACCGAUGGCGAAGGCAGCCAUCUGGCCUAAUACUGACGCUGAGGUACGAAAGCAUGGGGAGCAAACAGGAUUAGAUACCCUGGUAGUCCAUGCCGCAAACGAUGUCUACUAGCCGUUGGGGCCUUUGAGGCUUUAGUGGCGCAGCUAACGCGAUAAGUAGACCGCC